UCUCCGUUGGUGAACCAGCGGAGGGAUCAUUACAGAGUUGCAAAACUCCCAAACCAUUGUGAACGUUACCUAUCCCGUUGCUUCGGCGGGCGGCCCGGGCCCCGCGCCCGGCGCCCCCCGGCCCCCCGUGGGCGCCCGCCGGAGGUAAACCAAACCCUUGGAUUGCAUGGCCUCUCUGAGUCUUCUGUACUGAAUAAGUCAAAACUUUCAACAACGGAUCUCUUGGUUCUG
rnacentral:misc_RNA from 1 species